GAACGCUGGCGGCAGGCCUAACACAUGCAAGUCGGACGGAAACGACAAGAACAAUCACUUCGGUGUGCGUUUUUGGGCGUCGAGUGGCGGACGGGUGAGUAACGCGUGGGAAUCUACCCUUUAGUUGGGGACAACAUAUGGAAACGUAUGCUAAUACCGAAUAUGCUCUACGGAGUAAAGGUGCCCUCUCCUUGGAAGGUAUCGCUAAAGGAUGAGCCCGCGUUAGAUUAGCUAGUUGGUAAGGUAAAGGCUUACCAAGGCGACGAUCUAUAGCUGGUUUGAGAGGAUGAUCAGCCACACUGGGACUGAGACACGGCCCAGACUCCUACGGGAGGCAGCAGUGGGGAAUAUUGCACAAUGAGGGAAACCUUGAUGCAGCCAUGCCGCGUGUGUGAAGAAGGCCCGAGGGUUGUAAAGCACUUUCAAUUGUGAGGAAGAUUAAGUAGCUAAUACCUGCUUAGUUUGACGUUAACUUUAGAAGAAGCACCGGCUAACUCUGUGCCAGCAGCCGCGGUAAUACAGAGGGUGCAAGCGUUAUUCGGAAUUACUGGGCGUAAAGCGCGCGUAGGCGGACUGUUAAGUCGGUUGUGAAAGCCCUGGGCUCAACCUAGGAACUGCAUCCGAUACUGGCAAUCUAGAGUUUAAGAGAGGGAAGUGGAAUUCCAGGUGUAGCAGUGAAAUGCGUAGAUAUCUGGAGGAACAUCAGUGGCGAAGGCGACUUCCUGGCUUAAAACUGACGCUGAGGUGCGAAAGCUUGGGUAGCGAACGGGAUUAGAUACCCCGGUAGUCACAAGCCGUAAACGAUGUCACACUAGCUGUUGGUCUUAUUAAAAAGAUUAGUAGCGUAGCUAACGCGAUAAGUUGACCGCCUGG
rnacentral:rRNA from 1 species